rnacentral:lncRNA from 1 species
GCCAAGUUGCUAUCUUCAAAAGGCAUUUUGUGAGAAGUGAAUUGUUUCCUUUUCAGGUUUCAGGUGCCCAGUGCAUCAGGAUAGGAAUUAGAACAGAGGGUUGCAACAGCACGGCAGUGCCCUCCCACUGCCAGAAGGGAGACCCUGAGGACCAGGCUUGACUGCAAACGCACAGAGCUGCUCAGAUCAGCCUUGUUUGGCCUGUGCUCCUCCUGCCUACAGAGGAUGGAAGGAUUGAAGUCACCAGGAAGAUGGACCACAGGGCACGAUGAUUCUCCCAAACAGAAGAGAGGUGCAGAG